UGGAUAUGGGCUAUGUGUGAAGCCAACAUAGAUUUUGAAAGGUCUAACAGGUGCUAAUUAUUCAAAGAUAACUUACUUCUGUUUGUAAACCAGAUGGCUUGACAAAAAUGAGGAUGAUGGUCAGAUUGUCCGAGAAUUAGUGCCUGCUGGGGAGUCACCACUGCUAAAAAAUGUCAGUUACCACAUCAGUGUGAAGACAGGAGAUAUCCCC
rnacentral:lncRNA from 12 species